AAGAGAACUGGCGAGACCGCGGCCAAAGUCCUCUCGAACUGGGCGUCAUAGAGGGUGAGAACCCCGUACGCGGCCGCGCGGACAAGCCCGUGUGGGGCCCUUUCGACGAGUCGAGUUGUUUGGGAAUGCAGCUCAAAUUUGGUGGUAAAUUCCAUCUAAAGCUAAAUACCUGCCGGAGACCGAUAGCGCACAAGUAGAGUGAUCGAAAGAUGAAAGCACUUUGAAAAGAGAGUUAAAAAGCACGUGAAAUUGUUGAAAGGGAAGCGCUUGCAACCAGACUCGCUCGCGGGUGCUUAGCUGCCCUCCGGGGCGGUGCACUCUCCCGCGAUCGGGCCAGCGUCGGUUCUGGCGGUCGGACAAAGGCCCAGGGAACGUAGCUCUCUUCGGGGAGUGUUAUAUCCCGGGGUGCAAUGCGGCCCGCCGGGACCGAGGACCGCGCUUUAGCUAGGACGCUGGCGUAAUGGUUGCCAGCGACCCGUCUUGAAACACGGACCAAGGAGUCGACCAACCGCGCGAGUGUUUGGGCGUCAAACCCACGCGCGCAAUGAAAGUGAACGGAGGUGGGAGCCUCAGGGCGCACCAUCGACCGAUCCUGAUGUCUUCGGAUGGAUUUGAGUACGAGCACGGUUGGUCGGACCCGAAAGAUGGUGAACUAUGCGCGAAUAGGGUGAAGCCAGAGGAAACUCUGGUGGAGGCUCGCAGCGGUUCUGACGUGCAAAUCGAUCGUCAAAUUUGCGUAUAGGGGCGAAAGACUUAUCGAACCAUCUAGUAGCUGGUUCCCGUCGAAGUUUCCCUCAGGAUAGCAGUAACGAAGAACAGUCUCAUGAGGUAGAGCGAACGAUUAGAGGUCUUGGGGCCGCAAUCGGCCUUAACCUAUUCUCGAACUUCGAAUAUGUGAGAAGUCCUUGUUGCUUAGUGAACGCGGACAUUCGGAUGUGUCGUUCAGGUC
rnacentral:rRNA from 1 species